rnacentral:rRNA from 1 species
GACGAACGCUGGCGGCGUGCUUAACACAUGCAAGUCGAACGGUGAACUCCGCUUGCGGGGGGAUCAGUGGCGAACGGGUGAGUAACACGUGGGCAACCUUCCCUCAGCUCUGGGAUAACUCCAAGAAAUUGGGGCUAAUACCGGAUAUGACCGCUGACCGCAUGGUCUGGUGGUGGAAAGAUUUAUCGGCUGGGGAUGGGCCCGCGGCCUAUCAGCUUGUUGGUGGGGUAGUGGCCUACCAAGGCGACGACGGGUAGCCGGCCUGAGAGGGUGACCGGCCACACUGGGACUGAGACACGGCCCAGACUCCUACGGGAGGCAGCAGUGGGGAAUAUUGCGCAAUGGGCGAAAGCCUGACGCAGCGACGCCGCGUGGGGGAUGACGGCCUUCGGGUUGUAAACCUCUUUCAGCAGGGACGAAGCGAAAGUGACGGUACCUGCAGAAGAAGCACCGGCCAACUACGUG